CAAGAAGCGUGUGGAAAAACCAAGGCGCAAAAUAACUGCCCAUGAACUGAGAAAAGUCAAGCGUGCAGCUGCCAAGAUGCCACUUGCCACCAGUUUGGCCAUAUUUCAGAGCUGCAACAUCACUGGAGUGCCCAAAAGCACAAGGUGUGCAAUACUCAGAGACAUGGCCAAGGUAAGAAAGGCUGAAAGACGACCACCACUGAACAAGACACACAAGCUGAAACGUCAAGACUGGGCCAAGAAAUAUCUCAAGACUGAUUUUUCUAAGGUUUUAUGGACUGAUGAAAUGAGAGUGAGUCUUGAUGGGCCAGAUGGAUGGGCCUGUGGCUGGAUUGGUAAAGGGCAGAGAGCUCCAGUCCGACUCAGACGCCAGCAAGGUGGAGGUGGAGUACUGGUUUGGGCUGGUAUCAUCAAAGAUGAGCUUGUGGGGCCUUUUCAGGUUGAGGAUGGAGUCAAGCUCAACUCCCAGUCCUACUGCCA
ensembl:lncRNA